CCUAUACAUGCAGUCGAGCGAACAGACGAGGAGCUUGCUCCUCUGACGUUAGCGGCGGACGGGUGAGUAACACGUGGAUAACCUACCUAUAAGACUGGGAUAACUUCGGGAAACCGGAGCUAAUACCGGAUAAUAUAUUGAACCGCAUGGUUCAAUAGUGAAAGACGGUUUUGCUGUCACUUAUAGAUGGAUCCGCGCCGCAUUAGCUAGUUGGUAAGGUAACGGCUUACCAAGGCAACGAUGCGUAGCCGACCUGAGAGGGUGAUCGGCCACACUGGAACUGAGACACGGUCCAGACUCCUACGGGAGGCAGCAGUAGGGAAUCUUCCGCAAUGGGCGAAAGCCUGACGGAGCAACGCCGCGUGAGUGAUGAAGGUCUUCGGAUCGUAAAACUCUGUUAUUAGGGAAGAACAAAUGUGUAAGUAACUAUGCACGUCUUGACGGUACCUAAUCAGAAAGCCACGGCUAACUACGUGCCAGCAGCCGCGGUAAUACGUAGGUGGCAAGCGUUAUCCGGAAUUAUUGGGCGUAAAGCGCGCGUAGGCGGUUUUUUAAGUCUGAUGUGAAAGCCCACGGCUCAACCGUGGAGGGUCAUUGGAAACUGGAAAACUUGAGUGCAGAAGAGGAAAGUGGAAUUCCAUGUGUAGCGGUGAAAUGCGCAGAGAUAUGGAGGAACACCAGUGGCGAAGGCGACUUUCUGGUCUGUAACUGACGCUGAUGUGCGAAAGCGUGGGGAUCAAACAGGAUUAGAUACCCUGGUAGUCCACGCCGUAAACGAUGAGUGCUAAGUGUUAGGGGGUUUCCGCCCCUUAGUGCUGCAGCUAACGCAUUAAGCACUCCGCCUGGGGAGUACGACCGCAAGGUUGAAACUCAAAGGAAUUGACGGGGACCCGCACAAGCGGUGGAGCAUGUGGUUUAAUUCNAAGCAACGCGAAGAACCUUACCAUAUCUUGACAUCCUCUGACCCCUCUCGAGAUAGAGUUUUCCCCUUCCGGGGACAGAGUGACAGGUGUGGGAUGUUUGUCGGCAGCC
rnacentral:rRNA from 1 species